ACAAUAAAUCACAAUGCGGGACUGUUAGUCUUGCAAUUGGAUUGAGAACAACGUACAACUCUUAUCGAUAAGCCAUUGGAGGGCAAGUCUGGUGCCAGCAGCCGCGGUAAUUCCAGCUCCAAUAGCGUAUAUUAACGUUGUUGCAGUUAAAAAGCUCGUAGUUGAAGUGAGGGAGUGUGUGUUCAUGAGAGCUAGUCUCGAGUGUUCACAACCUCCCCCCUCCAAUCGGUGUAGUGGGGUAUUCAGUUCAGUUAUUUCACUACUCCUUUGGUCGUUUACUGUGAGAAAAUUAGAGUGUUCAAAGCGGGCGUUUGUUUGAAUAGAUUAGCAUGGAAUAAUGAUUGAAGGCUUUCGUGUUCGAUUUGAUUGGUUUGUUCAUGGAAGCAAGGUUAAAAGGAACAGUUGGGGGUAUUCAUAUUCACUAGUUAGAGGUGAAAUUCUCGGAUUUAUGGAAGAUGAACA
rnacentral:rRNA from 1 species